GCGGCCACUGCGCGGGAGACGAAGAGGCGGCGGGUGGGGUCGGUCGGUGCGGGUGCCUGUGCCGGCAGCGGUUCCGGUGCCGCGGUGGCCGUACCA
rnacentral:tRNA from 1 species